AUUGGAAUGACUUACAGUCUGCAGUCCAACUAACCCAACAGUGGUCAGUUGUGAAUGGGAAGUCCAAGGACCUAGCAGUCGCUCACGGGGCUAGGUGUUCCAGCUGCUCUUCUGUAGAAGAUGGAAUUCUGAAAAAGUAGCUUCCAACAGAUGUGCUGGCAAGAUCUCCACCACAGGAUCAAGAGACUAUGAACUGAAUCUGCGGAACCAUGAUCCUGCACAAACCACUCCUCCUUCUGGGUUGUUUAUCACAGCAGGAAGUCCAGGAGUACAGCUGUGAAACAUCUGUCCACCUUGGAAUGUCUCUCUGCAAGAUGAAUGAAGGCAGCUUUUGUCAUUGCUCCUGAGAGGAACGAGCCCUCUGCUGCCUCUUGUCUAGGUCAAGGAACCAAGGAAGGCUGCCAACUGUGAGGACGAGGUGUCCUUUAGCUUCAGCUUGCCCUGACCUACAGGACUGUGAGGUCUGAAUAAAUCACACCAGGCUUGCUUUUACCAUU
rnacentral:lncRNA from 1 species